CUUCCUCAAGACUGUGUGUGGGAGUCUUGGCAUGAGUGGAUUGUGCAAGAGAGGUUGGGUCCAUGUCAGGUCACAGCUCUUUGAAUGGAGGGGCUUGAUGGUUUCAGCUGGGCUCAGUGCUCUACAGGUGCAUGGUGAGGAGUUGCCAGCACACUGAGGAGAUGCAACCUGAUGAGGAAAUAAAGACAGAUGAACAUUGCUGCAGAAAUUUGCCCUCUUCUAAACUGCCAGAGACAGCACAGAGCCAUGAGACAGAGCUGGAUCCUGCUGGAGUGCAAACAUUGGGACAGCAUCUCCAUGUUACCUUUCUCCUUCUCUCUGGAGAUCAUGAAAGCAAUUGUUUAAAAAAGAGGGGAGUGUGAUUCAUGUUCAGUCAGCUCCAGCCCGAUUCGUUACAGGAUUCUUCUGCAACAAGCUGGAGAAGAGCCUCUGGUCGGUUAUUUCUGGCAGCACCCAGGCUGGUUACAGCAGUUUUGGGCAUGGAGAGCAGGUGAGGGCACGUGCUUAAACUGCGGAAGGAUUACCUAUACCCCAUCCAGUGUGUAACUUGCCAUUUGCCUUGUUCCCUGCAGUCACUAACUCUGCAAAC
rnacentral:lncRNA from 1 species